CCUACGGGGGGCUGCAGUAAGGAAUAUUGGGCAAUGGACGGAAGUCUGACCCAGCCAUGCCGCGUGCAGGAAGAAGGCCCUAUGGGUUGUAAACUGCUUUUCUGAGGGAAGAAAAAUAUGUAUUUAUAGGUAUCUGACGGUACCUCAGGAAUAAGCACCGGCUAACUCCGUGCCAGCAGCCGCGGUAAUACGGAGGGUGCAAGCGUUAUCCGGAAUUACUGGGUUUAAAGGGUGCGUAGGCGGUUAGAUAAGUCAGUGGUGAAAGGUUGCCGCUU
rnacentral:rRNA from 1 species